GUGUAUCUGAUGAAACCUUCUGUUGAAACUUUCUGAUUUUCAAUUGUAUUUAAGAAAUACCUUCCAUCUUUCAUGUUGGGUUCUGUUGUACAAUAGAAUGUACAAUUUUUUUCACAGAAAGAAGGAGAUUUUUCUGUGCUUUUAUGACCACGUAUCUGCUGCUCUAGCCAAGUGGAUUAGCUCGUAUCUUGACAGACACAAGACAAUGUCGAAGAGCCUGUAAAUACAAGAAGCCCACUCUUUUGCCUGCAGCGGUCGCUUCCUCUCUCCCCGAUCUCCUGCAAGGGCUGCAGCCCCUGUGCUGGGCUGCUCCGCCUCGUCGCGGGCUGAAGGACACGGUCCCCUGAGCAGGUUUCUUCCCCAGACGUGAGUCAGCAGGCGAGGUAGCUGACGGCAGUGCCGGGAUGGGCCGCGCUGAGAUGUGCCUCUGCAGUGACGCAGCUUUGCUCACGCAGGAGUCACCGAGGAGUUUUACAUCACCUCUACACCAGGUGGCAACAUAUCACGCUGCUCUGCUCGUGAUCGGGUUUUAAGGGCACAAACGCUUGUCUUAUAUGCAGCAUUCUGCAGAAUUCAGCCACGACAGA